rnacentral:rRNA from 1 species
GAUGAACGCUGGCGGCGUGCCUAAUACAUGCAAGUCGAGCGAAUGGAUUAAGAGCUUGCUCUUAUGAAGUUAGCGGCGGACGGGUGAGUAACACGUGGGUAACCUGCCCAUAAGACUGGGAUAACUCCGGGAAACCGGGGCUAAUACCGGAUAACAUUUUGAACCGCAUGGUUCGAAAUUGAAAGGCGGCUUCGGCUGUCACUUAUGGAUGGACCCGCGUCGCAUUAGCUAGUUGGUGAGGUAACGGCUCACCAAGGCAACGAUGCGUAGCCGACCUGAGAGGGUGAUGGGCCACACUGGGACUGAGACACGGCCCAGACUCCUACGGGAGGCAGCAGUAGGGAAUCUUCCGCAAUGGACGUAAGUCUGACGGAGCAACGCCGCGUGAGUGAUGAAGGCUUUCGGGUCGUAAAACUCUGUUGUUAGGGAAGAACAAGUGCUAGUUGAAUAAGCUGGCACCUUGACGGUACCUAACCAGAAAGCCACGGCUAACUACGUGCCAGCAGCCGCCGGUAA